AUUGAACGCUGGCGGCAGGCCUAACACAUGCAAGUCGAGCGGAUGAAGGGAGCUUGCUCCUGGAUUCAGCGGCGGACGGGUGAGUAAUGCCUAGGAAUCUGCCUGGUAGUGGGGGAUAACGUCCGGAAACGGGCGCUAAUACCGCAUACGUCCUGAGGGAGCAAGUGGGGGAUGUUCGGACCUCACGCUAUCAGAUGAGCCUAGGUCGGAUUAGUUAGUUGGUGGGGUAAAGGCCUACCAAGGCGACGAUCCGUAACUGGUCUGAGAGGAUGAUCAGCCACAUUGGAACGGAGACACGGUCCAGACUCCUACGGGAGGCAGCAGUGGGGAAUAUUGGACAAUGGGCGAAAGCCUGAUCCAGCCAUGCCGCGUGUGUGAAGAAGGUCUUCGGAUUGUAAAGCACUUUAAGUUGGGAGGAAGGGCAGUAAGUUAAUACCUUGCUGUUUUGACGUUACCAACAGAAUAAGCACCGGCUAACUUCGUG
rnacentral:rRNA from 1 species